GGGGCACCAGUCCUUCAUUGCGCGAACACACGCGGGCCAGGUUGUCUUCGUCAGUUCACAGUUCACCGCAGCUCUUUGGAUGGUACAAGGAAACCCUGGUGGACAUGGAGAGAAUAUGAAAAUUCCACGUGGGAAGGACCCGUAACGCGAACCCUGCAGUGGUGUAGUUGGCAGGAUCCAAAGCCUGAAAAAUGUUGGAAGGGCAGGAUCUGAACGCGGUCUUGACAACCAUGAAUCUGAAGCUGGAGCAGGAAAAAUGAAGCAACACCACCAUGAAUUCACCCGGACUUGAUAAAAUCCAAGACACUUCCAAGUUCCUUCCUUCCCUCUGGUCCCCAUCUGAUGAUGUCAUUACCAUCCAUCUACCACCGCAGCUCCGUCCCAGCAUUCCAUGUCCACUUCCAUUCCCACCCCAUAAAUUGUCCGCCUGUCAUUUGUUUCUCUGUCUGUGUUCGAUGUACGAACUGACCUGAUCUGAAAGAGUUUUCUACAGUAUCUGGGGACGGAAACCCCAAUACCUUUAUACUCUAUUUGUGCUUUCUUUACAAUAUAUAUAUAUAUAUAUAUAUAUAUAUAUAUAUAUAUACAUACACACACACACACAUA